rnacentral:rRNA from 1 species
UUAGUUGGUGGAGUGAUUUGUCUGGUUAAUUCCGUUAACGAACGAGAUCUUAACCUGCUAAAUAGUGGUUCGUAUCUCCGGAUAUGAAUGUCACUUCUUAGAGGGACUUUGUUACAUUCAAGUUCAAGGAAGUUUGAGGCAAUAACAGGU